GGAGGAAAGCAGGGGAUCGCAAGACCUUGCGCUUUUGGAGCGGCCGAUGUCUGAUUAGCUUGUUGGUAAGGUAAAAGCUUACCAAGGCUUCGAUCAGUAGCUGGUCUGAGAGGACGACCAGCCACACUGGGACUGAGACACGGCCCAGACUCCUACGGGAGGCAGCAGUGGGGAAUUUUGGACAAUGGGGGCAACCCUGAUCCAGCCAUGCCGCGUGAGUGAAGAAGGCCUUCGGGUUGUAAAGCUCUUUCAGCCGGAACGAAACGGUUACGGUUAAUACCCGUGACUACUGACGGUACCGGAAGAAGAAGCACCGGCUAACUACGUGCCAGCAGCCGCGGUAAUACGUAGGGUGCGAGCGUUAAUCGGAAUUACUGGGCGUAAAGCGUGCGCAGGUGGUUUUGUAAGUCAGAUGUGAAAUCCCCGGGCUCAACCUGGGAACUGCGUUUGAAACUACAAGGCUAG
rnacentral:rRNA from 1 species